rnacentral:rRNA from 1 species
UGGGGAAUUUGGACAAUGGGCGAAAGCCUGAUCCAGCCAUGCCGCGUGCAGGAUGAAGGCCUUCGGGUUGUAAACUGCUUUUGUACGGAACGAAAAGCCUCUUUCUAAUAAAGAGGGGUCAUGACGGUACCGUAAGAAUAAGCACCGGCUAACUACGUGCCAGCAGCCGCGGUAAUACGUAGGGUGCAAGCGUUAAAUCGGAAUUACUGGGCGUAAAGCGUGCGCAGGCGGUUUUGUAAGACAGAGGUGAAAUCCCCGGGCUCAACCUGGGAACUGCCUUUGUGACUGCAAGGCUGGAGUGCGGCAGAGGGGGAUGGAAUUCCGCGUGUAGCAGUGAAAUGCGUAGAUAUGCGGAGGAACACCGAUGGCGAAGGCAAUCCCCUGGGCUGCACUGACGCUCAUGCACGAAAGCGUGGGGAGCAAAACAGGAUUAGAUACCCUGGUAGUCCACGCCCUAAACGAUGUCAACUGGUUGUUGGGGUCUUCACUGACUCAGUAGCGAAGCUAACGCGUGAAGUUGACCGCCUGGGGAGUACGCCGCAAGGUUGAAACUCAAAUGAAUU